CCCACGCGAGUCCUUCCACGAGCGCGGUCCGGCGGGCGGAAGGGCGGUGGGCGCGCAGAGGGAUCGCCGGGACCCUCCUCCAGCUUCCCAGCUCUAACGACAAACGCUACCACAGCUGACGCCACCGAGCGCCUCAGGACCCGCUGAGUGUAAGAAGACAACUCGAUUCCAUUAUAAUUUACAUGGCCACGAUGAUAUGAUCCUGAAACAAUUAGAUGUAAAAGGAAAUAUUCUCACAGUUUAGGUUCUCAAUCCCAAGCUGUAACUCACCUGGAAGACCAGGCUACAGCAAGACUUUGGCUCUGCAAGCUCUGAAACAGCCUUUGGCCAGAAGCAGUAAGACCAAACUUGAUCUGAAGUUGGGCAUCAAGAAGAGAAAGGAACCUUACUUAAUGCUUUUCUGUACCGCAGCCUGGA